rnacentral:rRNA from 1 species
UACAGAGGUCUCAAGCGUUGUUCGGAUUCAUUGGGCGUAAAGGGUGCGUAGGCGGCGCGGUAAGUCGGGUGUGAAAUCUCGGAGCUUAACUCCGAAACUGCAUUCGAUACUGCCGUGCUUGAGGACUGGAGAGGAGACUGGAAUUUACGGUGUAGCGGUGAAAUGCGUAGAUAUCGUAAGGAAGACCAGUGGCGAAGGCGGGUCUCUGGACGGUUCCUGACGCUGAGGCACGAAGGCCAGGGGAGCAAACGGG